UACGAAGGGGGCUAGCGUUGCUCGGAAUCACUGGGCGUAAAGCGCACGUAGGCGGAUUGCUAAGUCAGGGGUGAAAUCCUGGAGCUCAACUCCAGAACUGCCUUUGAUACUGGCGACCUUGAGUCCGGGAGAGGUGAGUGGAACCGCGAGUGUAGAGGUGAAAUUCGUAGAUAUUCGCAAGAACACCAGUGGCGAAGGCGGCUCACUGGCCCGGUACUGACGCUGAGGUGCGAAAGCGUGGGGAGCAAACAGG
rnacentral:rRNA from 1 species